rnacentral:rRNA from 1 species
UACGGGGGGAGCAAGCGUUGUUCGGAUUUACUGGGCGUAAAGGGCGCGUAGGCGGUCAGCACAAGUCAGUUGUGAAAUCUCCGGGCUUAACUCGGAAAGGUCAACUGAUACUGUGCGACUAGAGUGCAGAAGGGGCAACUGGAAUUCUCGGUGUAGCGGAUGAAAUGCGUAGAUAUCGAGAGGAACACCUGCGGCGAAGGCGGG